rnacentral:rRNA from 1 species
UACGUAUGGAGCAAGCGUUAUCCGGAUUUACUGGGUGUAAAGGGUGCGUAGGCGGCAUGGCAAGUCAGAAGUGAAAGCCCGGGGCUCAACCCCGGUAGUGCUUUUGAAACUGCUGAGCUUGAGUACGGGAGAGGUAAGCGGAAUUCCUAGUGUAGCGGUGAAAUGCGUAGAUAUUAGGAGGAACACCAGUGGCGAAGGCGGCUUACUGGACCGUAACUGACGCUGAGGCACGAAAGCGUGGGGAGCAAACAGG